rnacentral:rRNA from 1 species
AACGAACGCUGGCGGCAGGCUUAACACAUGCAAGUCGAACGCCCCGCAAGGGGAGUGGCAGACGGGUGAGUAACGCGUGGGAACAUACCCUUUCCUGCGGAAUAGCUCUGGGAAACUGGAAUUAAUACCGCAUACGCCCUACGGGGGAAAGAUUUAUCGGGGAAGGAUUGGCCCGCGUUGGAUUAGCUAGUUGGUGGGGUAAAGGCCUACCAAGGCGACGGUCCAUAGCUGGUCUGAGAGGAUGAUCAGCCACAUUGGGACUGAGACGCGGCCCAGACUCCUACGGGAGGCAGCAGUGGGGAAUAUUGGACAAUGGGCGCAAGCCUGAUCCAGCCAUGCCGCGUGAGUGAUGAAGGCCUUAGGGUUGUAAAGCUCUUUCACCGAUGAAGAUAAUGACGGUAGUCGGAGAGGAAGCCCCGGCUAACUUCGUGCCAGCCGCCGCGGUAACAC